rnacentral:miRNA from 1 species
UGUAUGUGCCUGUGUGUAUAGUUGUGUGUGCAUGUGCAUGUGUGUAUAUGAAUAUACAUAUACAUACACACACACGUAUAAACGCAAGCACACACACACACAUACACACACACAGAGGAAUGGCACUCGUUGA